UCCAGCAAUGCCGCGUGAGUGAUGAAGGCCCUAGGGUUGUAAAGCUCUUUUACCAGGGAUGAUAAUGACAGUACCUGGAGAAUAAGCUCCGGCUAACUCCGUGCCAGCAGCCGCGGUAAUACGGAGGGAGCUAGCGUUGUUCGGAAUUACUGGGCGUAAAGCGCGCGUAGGCGGCUUUUUAAGUCAGAGGUGAAAGCCCGGGGCUCAACCCCGGAAUUGCCUUUGAAACUGGAAAGCUAGAAUCUUGGAGAGGUCAGUGGAAUUCCGAGUGUAGAGGUGAAAUUCGUAUAUAUUCGGAAGAACACCAGUGGCGAAGGCGACUGACUGGACAAGUAUUGACGCUGAGGUGCGAAAGCGUGGGGAGCAAACAGGAUUAAAUACCCUGGUAGUCCACGCCGUAAACGAUGAUAACUAGCUGUCCGGGUUCAUAGAACUUGGGUGGCGCAGCUAACGCAUUAAGUUAUCCGCCUGGGGAGUACGGUCGCAAGAUUAAAACUCAAAUGAAUUGACGGAAUGAAACUCAAAUGAAUUGACGGGGGUUU
rnacentral:rRNA from 1 species